GUGGGGAAUUUUGGACAAUGGGCGCAAGCCUGAUCCAGCAAUGCCGCGUGCAGGAAGAAGGCCUUCGGGUUGUAAACUGCUUUUGUACGGAACGAAACGGUCUGGGUUAAUACCCUGGACUAAUGACGGUACCGUAAGAAUAAGCACCGGCUAACUACGUGCCAGCAGCCGCGGUAAUACGUAGGGUGCAAGCGUUAAUCGGAAUUACUGGGCGUAAAGCGUGCGCAGGCGGUUUUGUAAGACAGGCGUGAAAUCCCCGGGCUCAACCUGGGAAUUGCGCUUGUGACUGCAAGGCUGGAGUGCGGCAGAGGGGGAUGGAAUUCCGCGUGUAGCAGUGAAAUGCGUAGAUAUGCGGAGGAACACCGAUGGCGAAGGCAAUCCCCUGGGCCUGCACUGACGCUCAUGCACGAAAGCGUGGGGAGCAAACAGGAUUAGAAACCCGAGUAGUCC
rnacentral:rRNA from 1 species